UCUAUUUCCAGACUUUUGUGUGCACGUAAUGAAUUCCAGUUUCUAUAAAGUCGGGGAACUUCUUCACUAGCUGAGGGACUGUUAGCCUCACAAGAAUGACUCCGUCCUGUAUGUCGUAUGAGUUGCUCCACGUCAAAGAAAUUUCUAGAACUACUCCGCAGUAAGUGAACGUUCUUCAUUAGUAUCGAUAACAUCAAAUAAAUCGAUCAGCACGAAGCUAGCAACAAGUCCAUUAAUUUCUUGCUUUAGUUUGCUGCUGAAGUCGGAUCAACUAACAUCUCUUCACUUCUCUCCGUAAUUUUGGUGACGGUGCAGAUGGGAAGCGAAAGUAUUUUGAGUCUGCCCAAUGAACUGUUGACAGAAAUAUUCUCUUACUUGAGCCCUGAGGAUUUGGUGGACAAAGUACGUAAGACCUGUACACGCUGGAGGGACAUAACUUACACAGACGUUCUGUGGAGAAUGGUCACUUUCAGGCCAUCUUAUCAAAUGUCCGACCCCGAUCUUCUCUCCUACAUAAAAGAGAUGCCACAACUUACAUCUUUCGUUCUAAAUCACGAAAGGGAUACCAGCAUGAUCAUAAAUACAAUGCGUGAACAUUGCCACGAUAUUAAAAGUGUAAUUAUAAGAAAUAAAGUAGGAACUAAUAAGAACAGUAUAACAGACAUGUUGCUUACGUUCCCAAACAUGGAAUGCUUUGACGUUGUCGCAAGUGAAUC